rnacentral:rRNA from 1 species
UACGAAGGGUGCAAGCGUUAAUCGGAAUUACUGGGCGUAAAGCGCGCGUAGGUGGUUCGUUAAGUUAGGAGUGAAAGCCCCGGGCUCAACCUGGGAAUUGCUUCUAAAACUGGCGGGCUAGAGUAUGGUAGAGGGUGGUGGAAUUUCCUGUGUAGCGGUGAAAUGCGUAGAUAUAGGAAGGAACAUCAGUGGCGAAGGCGACCACCUGGACUGAUACUGACACUGAGGUGCGAAAGCGUGGGGAGCAAACAGG